UCUAGGCGUAGAUCACGUUAUAGCGAUAAUGUUAAUUUCAUGAAAUUAUUUAAUAUUCUUUUUUGCAAUUUUAUGAGACAAACGUAAAAUGAUGACUAAGUAGUUUACUGUUUUAGAGAACAGGUAGUAACAUGUGUGUGUGUGUCUCUAGCUUAAUGUAUUUGUGUGUGGGAAACCAGUUUAAGUUUUGUUUUUGUCGCUCAACUGAUUGCAGUUUGUUCAACGACUUCGGCAACAAAUCCAGACGACAAACAAGAAACCGCUAACUUUUGCCAUGACCAAACUCAAAUUCAGUCGCUGGGAACUCGUUAUGAAACGAAAGUGGACAGAAUCAGAUGUUCCAUGAGUCAAUAGCCCAGCCACAGAGCAUGUACAAUGUUAAAUCAAAGACGAAUCAGAAAACCAAAUAUUUGACUAGUGAUAAAAUGCUUUUAAGAACCUAAAGCAAACCCAUUAGAAUUCGAGAUUAGAAAGGGAAAAAUUUAUACAUAUGGUGGGAUUUUAGCUGAACUUCAAAAAUGACAAAGUCCAUAUGUCUAAAACUUUUUCUUCGCUGAUUAUGAUAAUAAAGUGAAAAUAAUAUUUUGUCGUAGAGCUGAAACCAAAUGAAUGGAGAAUAUUAAAGCGGCUUGGCCAUAUAAAAAUCAAUAACGAGCCCAACAUGGCAUUCCAAAGCUGUCAAAAAAAAUAUAUUAUAAGUUGGUGUUUCCCCUCUUCAUUGUAAAGGAAAGUAAAAGCUAUAAUAUAAAGCAAAAAACAGAAUCUAAUCGACUAUCGAAUUAUAUAGUAUUUUUUAAAUAUAUCUUGAUUAAAUUAUUAACUUUUUUAUGACAAAAUUAUCACAGUUAAUACAUUCUCAAAAUAGUUUACAAUAGAAAUAAGUUGGUUUCAGUUAUGAUAUGCGAUUUCUGCCUAUUAUGUGGCACUUUUAGCACUGGCUUGGAAAAUAUUCACUCAGCUAUAUAUCGAUAAAUGGGCACUUAAGUCGAUAAGUACAUAAAAUAUACCUCAGUAUGUAUUUCUCAUAUACUUUGUAGCAUGAAUUGCCAUGGCCAAAGCACUUAGCGUAGAGUAACUUAUAAAUUUGGUCGGCCAAAGAACGAUUAUGCAAAUAUAAAUCAAUUGACAGGCGGCCACAAAUCGCAUGAAUAAAUGCUUGACUAACGGCUACCCUGUGUGUUAUGUACAUACAUACAAAGGUGUUAAAAAUUUCCCAAGAGGACUAAUUAUAUCUAAUUGGUAAACAAAGCAAGUCUGGCAACGCUUGAGGUAAAAUUGCUCAUCAGGCAGCACAGUUCAAAUAUGACAAUUGGAAUUCAUUAUAUGAAUACAAACUUGUUCCAAUUGGUAUCCUUUAUACCCCCUAUAGAGAAUAGUCUACUUCUAGGGUAUUCAAAAGGCAACUCAUAAAAAGGCGACAGCAAGUAGCGACAACAAAGGAAAACCUUUGCCCAUGUGGGGGAGCAAGAAGCAAAGAACUAAAAAUGAAUCUGUAACAAGUGCGCCUGCAAAUGUGCACACACUAACAAACAUGCUCUUAUGUGAGCAAACACACAUACUCGCACAUACACAUGCAAAUAAACAUAUGUACAGCUGUAAGGCAAAACAAGUCUUGCUCCACUACAGCUGUAGGGGCGCCAGGAUGGGGAAGGGGGAACCCUCAUUGCUUUUGCCAGACAAGACAGAAGACAUGAAGAAGACGCGACAAGAGCCACACAGCAUUAAAGGUGUCUGUGUGUGUGUGUGCAGGAGACACGUUUGUAGUGGCCUAUGUGAACCAGAAAUUUACGCAAAAACCCAAGAGCGAGAAACGAAAACGAGAAGAAAACAAUUUGAAGAUCAUGAAGGCGAAGAAAUCAUAAACAAUUCGAGAGUGUAAAUAAACUAAGCAAAGUGCAAGAAUUUCAGCAAAGUUUCGGCAAAUACGUAAAGCUUGUUCUCUGCUCUGCUCUUAUCUCAUUCACAACCCGAUAAAAUAUACAAAACAAAAAAAAAAAAAAAAAGAAAACAAGAAAAAAAAAGAAUAAAAUUUCGGCUAAAGCAUAUGCGAAAGAUAAAUA